UUUUUCAAAAAGUCAUAUCUACAAUGAGUGACUCUCAUUGUAUACUUUCUCUUCUGUUAAUAAUUCGGUCGCUUUAACUUUUACCCCUAAACUCUUUGCAUAAUAUGCUAGUCAAAACCACCGUCUUUCGAUCUAUACUGUAAAUUAAGUAAAAAGUGUUAUAGUGACGCCGUAAAAAUCGAAAGAGAAAGUAAACAAAGAGAGUCACUCGUUGUGGAUAUGUCGUUUUGAAAAAAAAAAAAGCUAUAGAAAUACACUUUUGAUUAUGCUUUGCUAAUUUAGUGCGGUUUCUUAAAUUUUCGGCAGAAGGUUAAUCCUGAAGUCACCGGUUAAUUCUGGAGUGGUCAAAUGAUCUAGAAGACAAGAUAUUGCUAUCGAGAGCAGUCUCCAGAACGACUCGAUUCCGGAGACGUUCAACUUGAAACAUCGAACAACAACGGAUAAACUUUUAUCUUUGUUCACAAGUUAUUGUAGCAGACGCUGUUAUUGUAGCAGACGCGUCCCAGCGUCAGUAUCUAGUAGGUUUUUGUCACGCGCUACGGCCAGUAGGGAUACGCGAAUGCCUUCAGCGCCAUACAGGAAGAAACGGACGUCGAACUUGAGAACCUAAAGAUGAACGGACUGCAUGAAGUUCUAGUCAACAAAGGAGAUUUAAGCAUUCCUCGUGGAAUACAAUUUUUGAUGCUCUCUAAUUGAAAUGUUUUACACGCGAAGCAGAAGUAUGAACCGCAUUGAAAAUUACAACUGACAUUGGAACAUACACCACGUCCGUGAUCAACAGUUGGUCAUUGAUCCUUUGACUAGCACGAUGUAUCAGUUCAGUAUUUGGGUCGAUACAUAGAACUCGCGUAACUGUUAGAAUAAAGCCCGUAAUCAACUUAUGAAUAACACAACACCUGCUUCUAAUUUGAAAAGCUAUUCCGGUUCAGUUUGGUGACAGUGAAGUGAAAAUAGCAUCAGUGCGUAGGUUGCUAUAGAAGAUAUUUGAAUGUUUGAAUGAUUCCCAGGAUAGAAGAAUACGUGAAACAAAAUGCUGAAAAUAUGAACCGAUUUUUUUAUUCCACGCACAAGUGCGAAGGAGAAAGUGUAUAAAUAAAAAUCUUAUCUACUAUUAAACAAUUUCAUA